UUUCUUUGCUUUUGAAGCAAACUUUUGAUCACAAAUGAAAACAAUUUGACCACGUUAUGAAAAAUCUUCUGCUUUAACCGAAUAAAUCCUAAUCUGACUGAAUGUGUCUCCAGAACAUGACCUCUGACCCUGCAGCUCCGCCUCCUGCAGAAACCAGACAAAAAAAGGGUGAAGCUGAGGAGGGGCUUUCCUACGCCUCCAUCAGCUACACCCAGAAACCCACCAGGGUUAAAGGUGAAUAUGAUGGAUCCACCGUGACCUACAGCACGCUGAAAGCUGCACCUGCUGAUCCCCACAGCCUCUACACCUCCAUCGAGUGACCAACGACACCAGAGAGAGGGUCACGGCUCAUGCAUGCACUGUAAAAAACACGCAUGAUGGCUGUUCAUGCACACUUUCAUAAACUAACUUUAAUAAGAGAGUGGAAAAGUUUUAAUUUAGCACAAAUUGUAGGAAAGUGUUUAUUUGUGUACUGUAACCACGCUUCCGGGUAAUAAAACUCGUUAUUGCAAAGCCUGAUGUGUCAUUUUUUACUCUGAGGUCCAACUUGUGAGGAUCGUGCAUCAG